ensembl:lncRNA
GAAAGUGGCAGGCGCAAGAAGCCGUCACCAAAGCUGAGGCACGACUAAGGCACAAAACGCUGGUGGGCUCCAUGGCAAUGGGACGAGCAGGUCUUGGUUGUUUUCCCAAGCCACGUUAUGAUCUGGCUCGUGGAAAAGAGAGGCGCAAACUGAUUCAGGAUGAGAUACGAGCAGAGGUGGAGGAAGAACGCUACACCAAAAUGGCCAGCAUGUCCAAACAAGGAGCGUGGACCAGGUGGGAACAGGCAGAUCCACGCAGAAUAACCUGGGCAGAGCUCUGGAAAGCAGAGCCAUUUCGGAUCAAGUUUCUUGUCCAAUCCGUCUAUGACGUCCUCCCAAGCCCAGCUAACCUGCACACCUGGGGCCUGGCAGACACUCCUGAGUGCAAGCUGUGCAAGAAAAGGGGCACACUGGAGCACAUUUUGAGCAGCUGCACAAGAGCGCUAGGGGAAGGGCGGUACCGCUGGCGCCACGACCAGGUGCUAAAGGCUUUAGCGGACUCCAUCUGCACAGCGAUCCAGCUCAGCAAGACCCAGGCAGCCCCCAAACAAACAAUCACCUUCAUUAGAGCUGGGCAGAAGGAACAAUUCCACCGGCCUAGCUCUACGGGGGGGCUCCUCUCCACUGCUCGUGAUUGGCAGCUUCAGGUUGACCUUGGAAGACAGCUUAAGUUCCCAGGCAACAUCACAGCCACUUCUCUCCGCCCAGACAUGGUGCUAACGUCUGAGUCUACCAAGCAAGUGGUUAUCCUGGAACUAACUGUCCCCUGGGAAGACCGUAUUGAAGAGGCCUACGAGCGUAAGAGGGCUAAGUACGCAGGGCUCAGCUCGGAGUGCCGGAACAACGGCUGGAAAACUCGCUGCGAGCCAGUCGAGGUCGGGUGCCGAGGCUUCGCUGGCCACUCACUGCUGCGAACCCUCAAACUCCUUGGAGUGAAAGGACUGCAAUUGAAAAAAGCCACCGCAAACAUCUUAGAGGCCGCAGAGAGGGCUUCUCGGUGGCUGUGGAUCCGUAGGGGGGAUCCGUGGAGCAACAUGCCACUUGGACACAAGCCGGGGACUGAUCACCCCCGGUUGGGUCGCCCGGGUGAGGGUGUAUGAAGAUUAAAGACCCGAAACACCCUAUGACCCCGGGUUUUUCACUGAUGACGUGUCCAAGUAGCACCAGAAGGUGUAUUCAAACUC